AAUCUGAAAACUGGGAUUCUCGUCCCAGCUCCACUGCUGCCUGCAGGGAGACCUCAGGCAGCAUGAGUCACUGUGGAGAGGUAAGAGUGUGCUAGAGGUGGACAGAUCCAAGUUCAAGUCCGAGUAUGGCUUCUUACUUGCACACCACCGCCCAAAGUGCUUUCUCCCCGGACCUCAGUUUCCGUGUCUGCAUCUGCAACAAAGCUAAGGAUUCCUGCCUGAGGGGGCGGUGGGGGGUGGGCGGGACAUGCUAAAUGCACAAGCUGCUCUCGUAUCACACCAUAGAAUAUUCCUCGUGUUGCUCGAGAGCUCAGUAAGCGUCAGCCGUUUAUGAGGAUGUCAUCAUAGUCAUCACGUCCCCCUCCCCCAGCGGACCCUGUGGGAUUCUGAGCAAGCGACCUCACCUCUCCGGGCCUCAUUGUCCUUACCUGUAAAAUGGGGAGACUACGUGCACAGGCCUCAGUGGGUUCCGAGAAAUAGGAGACAUCGAGGUCCACCUGAGCAAACAGCUGAGAGUUGAGAAAAGGUUAGUUGUGGUGGUGAAGGGCGUAGAGCCCUGACUUCAAGCCUAGCUCCACUUCCUAGAGCCAUGUGACCUCGAGAAAGCCGUUUCUCCCAGCUGUGCUGGUUUCUCACUGGAAUUUACAGAUGACAGCGAUGUUCAUAGUACCACCUUCGUGGCUGGGUGGAAGAAUUAAAUAAGCCAUUGCAGAGAGUGUGCACAUAGCCUCUGUCAGAAGUGUCUGAUUCUGUGGAGUGGGAGAGAACACAAGGAACAUCCCCAAGGCCUAGAUGUCCUCAGCCUGGCUGUCCCCUGCCUCUGCUUGGGCUCAAGCAUGGCCUUCCACGAGGGACUCCGGGAGAAGGAGGACAGCAUGCCCAGUUGGGCUUGCAAAGGAACAUGCCUGGCUGGCAGCCACCCCCUGGGUGAGACCCCCCAGUGCCCACCGGCAGGAUGAAGGCUGUGAGUGGGGGCAGCUGGCUGGAGUACUUGUCGAUCCACUGCUCCAGCUCCAGGAUGCACCCUGCCUCGAAUGUGGCAUGUCCUGAGGGAUGGAGAAGCAGAAAGACACGGCCAUGACAUCCACGGCCCACAAGACCAAGGAAACCACCCCGCGUCCCUUCUGCCCAGGUGUUCUGCAAACCCCUCCCAUGGGCUCGGGAGGUCCUUCCUUCUCAGGGUGUAGGGGCCAGGCUGCCAGGGGACCCAGGGGACACCUAGGACAGAGUCCCCCCCACACCACCUCGGGCCCUCCAAGCACAGAGACAUUACUUAAGUGAGCCUCCCUGGCUGAGGAGCGUGGCGUGGCCAGAGCAGAGCCAACAUCCUGCAGCGAGCACUGGAUCUGGGGAAGCAACAGAGGGACAGCUGAGCCAAGACACCAAACAUGACAGUGCUUUCUAAACCACGAAGGACGAGCAUCUGGGAGAACGUGGUCAGCCCCUGCAUGACGAGCCACAGGCACCCGUGCCAAGGACACCCGCAACACCACCUUGGACCCUGUGCCUAGCCAGAGUCCACUCAAGCUGCGUGGGGGGCUGUCGGGUGGGUGGGGGCCUGCGGCCUCUGUGAACACAGUCACGGUGACAGCCUGCCAGGAGCAGGACAUGGUGGAGGAGAGCAGAGGCUGCCCACCCAGCAGCGGACCAGAACCCUCCUUGGGCUGCGACUUGGGUGAGUUACUUGAGUGAGCCUGGUAUCUCUGGGGCUUCCGGGGGGAGGCAGGUAACAAUAUUACCCCAGGGCUUGGCCUCCUGCAGCGUCUGCCCCUAGGACUGGAGGGAGCUGGCACCGGUUUGGGACUAGGACCCCAGCUCUAGUUGAUUCCCGACCGGCAUCCCCAUGCAACAUGGACAAUGACCUCCAGCUCAAGUGCUUUUGCGAGGAGGGCAAGGCCCAGGCAGCGCUCCUGGGUAAAAAGUCACAGGCUGCACCCUCAGGGGGCCCUGGCCAGUGGGGAGACAGAAGGAUCAGACCAUCUCACCAUCUUGGUGGUGCCCAAGGGGGGCCAGAUGGGUAGCCCAGGCCCCAGAGGAGGUGAUGUCAAUGCUGUGACCCAGAGGACAAGGGCCUCAAGCACAGGUCAGCUCAUCAUGUCACUGGCCCACCUUCCCAGACUUUUCCCUCUGCAAACUCUGCUCAGAGAUGAGCACAUCUAGAAAUGACCACCGGGGAUAUGGGGAUAUGACCAUUUCUCCAUUGUGAGGCUACAAACUAUCCUCCAGUGCACAGAGGGGCCUUGUUCAUAGAAUGUUCCAGCAAUUGAAGCGUCCCAUCCUUCUGCAGCCCCCUCAGUACCCUCCAUCUGUUCCCAGGAGCCUAAGUGGGCUCUGGCCUGGCCUGGAGGACUGCAGUAGGCUUAGGGCUGACCUGCAAGGAGCAGUUUCUAGUCUUGGGUCACCCUGUAGACUCUAACCUUGUCUUGCAUGUUUGGGGGUGGGGGGGCGUGUCCCUCUCCACUGCUGAAGGCCUGUCUGGGGGCCAGAGCCUCUAUGCUUCCUAAGUUGCACAACAUGAAUACUAACAGCCACAAAGUCCGAGGGUGGAGGGCUUACUGAAGCUGGCCUUCCUGGCUUUCUCCAGCCCAGAGGCUGCUGAUGUCUGGGCCUGGAGCACUCUCUGGUGUGGCGGCUGUCCCAUGCACUGUAGGAUGUUACCUGCGUCCCUGGUCUCUGCCGCCCAGAUGCCAGGAUCGCCCCGCCUCCACUUGUAACCACCAAAAAUAACAAUAGAUGCUGCUGAGCAUCCCCUGGGAGGGGGCAGAAUUGCCCUGGGUCAAGUCCACUGCACAUGACAUUUGCCCCCCAGGUACUGGCCUCACCACCUGCCUGGGAGGGAGGAUGGUGUGUGUCCCUGUUUGGCAGGUGGAGAAACUAAGGCUCCCAGAGAAAGAGCGAUUAGCCCCGGAUGGCAGAGAGAGGAAGAGAUGGUCACAUGGCAAGUGCGGUCACGGCCGCCUGGCCGCACGGAUAAUAGCCCAGUGCGGGGUGAGACGGUAUUACUUACUUUCUGAAGCUCUUCAGCAAACGGGUGGCCUUUCUCAGUGAUGAAUUCCAAAGCAAACCUAUGAGGAAAAAGAAAAGAAUCUUCCUCUAACAGAACGUGCCUGGGCCCUGCCUUACAUGAGGCGGCCAGUUUGCUGGGGCAGGUCACCCAGCUAAUACUGCUCAAACACAUGGGGUAAUUUUCUUGCUGACAAGAAGAAUGCCAGAAUCUUUCACUUGGUUAGCAGACGUGUGUUGCUCAAAAUGCCUUUUCUCAUACCCAUUACUCAACCAGUCAAUGCUUCCAUUUUCCGUGCCAACUCCGGCCCAGUCCAGGCAGGUCUGUAUGAGCGCAAGGGACACAGGCUCUGUUCGGCAGGACAGGGAGAUGACUGCAUGUGAACUGAGGUCAGCGCUCCGGAGGAAAGGGCCGGAGUCCUGUGAACCUGGCCUUGGCUGGGGUUCAGGGAGGGCUUCCUGGAGGAAGCAGUGCUAGAGGUAGGACUCUGAAGGCUGAGUAGGAGUUCCCUGGGAAGGCAGGUGGGAUGGGGAAAGCCAAGCACCCCAGGUGCAGAUCAGGACCCCAGCUCCUGUUUCCCUCCAAACUUUGCACCCUCUCUCUGCACCAGGCAGAGUCCCGGCAGGGAAAAGUCAGCGGUGCCUUUGCAGGAUUCCUGGAGGAAACGAUGGCAAAGGGACUAUGAAAGAGUAUGGGAAGAGUUCUGGAAACUGACACUGGAUGGCAAAGAUGAGGAAAAGUAGGGGCCUGAAGGGGCAAGGGAGGGUCAAAGGUGUCACUACCCCAGGAGAGCUGGAACCCCAAUGUGCAGGUGGCUGGGCAAGAGUCGCUGGGGAGCAGGAGCAGAAAUGCUCCCACACCUGCCUCCACUAAUGUCCCAUCUGCUGGUGCCUCCCAUUGGUUGGACCCACCCAGAAGCUGAAGAAUGAGGGGACUGGGGCUGACAGUGUUACCAUGUGAUGCAGGCCACGUCCUGGGCACACCAGCGAAGACAAGAGUGAACGGCCUCCGAAGGGCCAAUGAAGAAACCCCAGGGCGCCUCGGUAGCCCAUCUCACAGUGAGAACUAAACAGACAUAUGUGGCAUUUGUCAUCUAGUGUGGGACAGCUCUGUAUGCUGGACACCGUCUGCCCUGGGCAUAGCACUAGCCUCCUGCCUGGCACAAAGCAGGGGCUCAUGUCCCUGCGACACAGGCCAGGCAUUGGCCCCUCCUCGGAGCUUAGCGGCAUCAGGCCCCCACUGCCUGCAGAUGUCCCUCUAGUGUCUGUCUGCUCCCCAGCCCCAGAGCUGGGCUCUGGGAGCAUGGGCUCCAUGGAGCACGGGGGCUGAGGCGCUCUGCUGGGCAUGCCUGGCACAUGGAGAUGCUCAUUCACGUGCUGACAAAGAAGCCACCGCUGAGGCAUCCCCGGUCUCCUGCCCACACGGACUGGGGGCUGAUGGUUUGCUGAGUUGCUUGACUCAGACUGUGGAUACACACCUCACCAUCCUACCCCUCGGCCCACAUCAUCUGGUGUCUGCCUCUCCCUGCCGCCCUCACACACAGACCAAAGCGUCUGCCUUCUCUACUCUGCUGGCCAACCAUCUGCAUCUGCUGUUAUCCGUCCUGAGCACCACACCUCAUACUCGCCUGAAGAGUGGGGGAGCUGGGGGUGGGGUGGGGCGAGGCAGCUUCAGACAGGAGCAGGCAGGGCAGAGGGAAAGGAGCCUACAGCCCAGGAGCCUCAGGGACCAAAACACAGGCCCUGCGCCACCAGGCCAAGGCGGGUUCCUUGAGGGCUGGCAGCCGGACAGACCAGCCAGCACUCUUGGGAGCUUCACGUAAAUUACGCAGACUGAAGCCAGCUCAAAAUCAACCUCAAGGCCAAUCCCGUUGGCCUUACCCAAUAGCUGAACUUAAUUCAUCCGUUGUUCCCACGGCUUCAAACACUUGGUCAUCUUUCGAUCUCCUUUCUCCAGUGAAGGUGCUAGAAAACCCUGUGAAAAAAUGUUUAGCCACUCAAGUGAAGAUUU